rnacentral:rRNA from 1 species
UACAGAGGUCUCAAGCGUUAUCCGGAUUCAUUGGGUUUAAAGGGAGCGUAGGCGGAUUGGUAAGUCAGUGGUGAAAUCUUUGGGCUUAACCCAGAAACUGCCAUUGAUACUGCUGAUCUAGAGUACAGUUGCCGUUGGCGGAAUAUGACAUGUAGUGGUGAAAUACUUAGAUAUGUCAUAGAACACCGAUUGCGAAGGCAGCUAACGAAGCUGUAACUGACGCUGAGGCUCGAAAGUGCGGGGAUCAAACAGG